rnacentral:rRNA from 1 species
AGUGAACGCUGGCGGUAGGCCUAACACAUGCAAGUCGAACGGCAGCACAGUAAGAGCUUGCUCUUACGGGUGGCGAGUGGCGGACGGGUGAGGAAUACAUCGGAAUCUACUUUUUCGUGGGGGAUAACGUAGGGAAACUUACGCUAAUACCGCAUACGACCUACGGGUGAAAGCAGGGGAUCUUCGGACCUUGCGCGAUUGAAUGAGCCGAUGUCGGAUUAGCUAGUUGGCGGGGUAAGGGCCCACCAAGGCGACGAUCCGUAGCUGGUCUGAGAGGAUGAUCAGCCACACUGGAACUGAGACAUGGUCCAGACUCCUACGGGAGGCAGCAGUGGGGAAUAUUGGACAAUGGGCGCAAGCCUGAUCCAGCCAUACCGCGUGGGUGAAGAAGGCCUUCGGGUUGUAAAGCCCUUUUGUUGGGAAAGAAAAGCAGCAGGUUAAUACCCCGCUGUUCUGACGGUACCCAAAGAAUAAGCACCGGCUAACUUCGUG